UAACGAAUCUUCCGCAAUGCACGAAAGUGUGACGGAGCGACGCCGCGUGUAGGACGAAGCCCUUCGGGGUGUAAACUACUGUCAGGGGAAAGAAAGUUCUGAUCUACCCCAGAGGAAGGGACGGCUAACUCUGUGCCAGCAGCCGCGGUAAGACAGAGGUCCCGAGCGUUAGGCGGAAUCACUGGGCUUAAAGCGUGUGUAGGCGGAUGCCUAAGUACCUUGUGAAAUCCCACGGCUCACCCGUGGAACUGCUUGGUAUACUGGGUGUCUUGAGCCACUUAGGGGCUACCGGAACAAAUGGUGGAGCGGUGAAAUGCGUAGAUAUCAUUUGGAACGCCAAUGGUGAAAACAGGUAGCUGGGAGUGUGCUGACGCUGAGACACGAAAGCCAGGGGAGCAAAC
rnacentral:rRNA from 1 species